rnacentral:rRNA from 1 species
GUCCUUUUGAUUAUAAUUUAAGGUCUAGCCUGCCCAAUGAUGUAAAUUUAAUGGCCGCAGUAUACUGACUGUGCAAAGGUAGCAUAAUCAUUAGUUUUUUAAUUGGAAGCUUGUAUGAAAGGUUUGAUGAAAAAAAAAUUGUCUCUAGGUAAAGGUUUUGAAAUUUAUUUUUAAGUUAAAAAGCUUAAAUUAAUAUUGAAGACGAGAAGACCCUAUAGAGUUUUAUUUAUAUUAGUAAUAAAUUAAGUUUUAGAAUUUUAAAUUUGUAUUAUUAAGUAAAUUUAGUUGGGGUGAUUGAAAAAUUUAUUAAACUUUUUUUUUAUUUGAACAUUUAUUUAUGAGUUUAUGAUCCUUUUUAAGAUUAUAAGAUAAAAUUACCUUAGGGAUAACAGCGUAAUUUUUUUUAGAGUUCUUAUCGAAAAAAAAGAUUGCGACCUCGAUGUUGGAUUAAAAUUAAAUUUUUGGUGUAGAAGCUAAAAAAUUAGGUCUGUUCGACCUUUAAAUUUUUACAUGAUCUGAGUUUAAACCGGCGUAAG